AGGAGAAGCAGAAGAAGCAGGAGGAGGAGGAGAAGAAAGCCAGAGAGGAGCUGAUACAUCGUCAGCAAAAGUAUCCAAACCUCCCGUGGCAGCUGUAAAAAACAUUUAUGAGCCAUGUUGCCACGAGACAUGAUGUCAACUUUUGUUUGUGGACGACUGAGUGAAACACAGCAGAACACAGUAACUCCCAUAGAGCUGUCAGAUCUCCCUGCAGUAGAAAAACCCUGCCAUCUGUAUGCUCUGGAUUUUAUGUUGUUUGUGGCAAUGGGCAUCAUAGUAAAGAAUGACAUUUUAAAUAGUGUAUCACACCUCAAGUUUGACACCAGACAGAAAAAAAGAUACUCACUCCUAACCAAUGGGAAUGUUUGUUGGAGCUGAAUGAAAACUUUGUGAUUCUAUUCUACAAUAGUUGCCAUUCUUUUUUUUUGUACCUUGAUACUUUAAUCAAUCAAAAAUGCCCAAAGAGAGCAGUAUUAUUAGACUUUUAGUCUUUCAAACUGGAGCAGUCUGAAAGCAAAUAUUUUUGUUGUUCCUUUUGCAUCUUUAACCAAAAGUAAGACUAAAUAAACACCUGGGACAUGAUGUAACCUAGUUUUCCUGCAUAGAUUUAUUUAAUCUUUUACACAGAUGUAAAAAAAAGUUGUCUUUUUGUCUUUACACCUGUGUUAGCAGCAGCUCGUGCAUCACGAUGGCGUUAAAAAUGUGGUUUUAUUAUCACGUCUUUGUACUUUAUCUAUCACGGGGACUUUGCGUCGUCUCUAUCCCUAAUUUAAUUAUAUCAUUUCUUCUUCUCCGUAUCGUAACAGUGACAACUGCAUUCCCGUGUGUUCCGUGUUGUUGUUUUUCCUUUUCAACUGCUCGCGCUGAGACGCUGCGUUCCUACUAUUAGUCUGACUGCUCGUCUUUGUUGAUCCUGGCUGCAAGUGUGGCAGCGCGUCUCACACUAUCUGCUCCUGUUCUUCUCCACUUCUGUGAUGUUAAUGAGGCCUUUUGGUUUGUAAUUAAAAGAUGGCCCAAAGAUACAGAGAGACUAAUUAACCAAGACAUGGCUGUUGGAAAAGGCCGGACGCCCUGCCAAACUCUAGACCUAGUCUUAAUACAGUGCCUCAAAGUGUCUCAAACAUUCAAUGUUGGUGGGAGAAAAAAAAAAACUGUAUUUCCUGAGCUUUUUUUUUUCUUGGCACAAGUGAUCACUGUGAAUAGGAAUGGGUUGAGACUAAUUAAAUUUGCUCUUAACCUGCUUCAUUGCUUAAAGUAAGUCAAUCAAUUAGAAAGUGGCACAUAGUUAUUGUAAGACAUUGCUGUGCUACAGCUGUGAGCAGGGCUUUAUUUUGACCAGUAAAAUGAUUACCUUGCAGUUUAAUCUGAGGAGUUAAAUGUUCACGUUGUCUUUAAACAAAUUUUUGACCCUGG